rnacentral:rRNA from 1 species
GAGGGCGCUUACCACUUUGUGAUUCAUGACUGGGGUGAAGUCGUAACAAGGUAACCGUAGGGGAGCCUGCGGUUGGAUCACCUCCUUACCUUAAAGAA